AAAGUCGUAACAAGGUUUCCGUAGGUGAACCUGCGGAAGGAUCAUUACCGAGUGAGGGCCCUCUGGGUCCAACCUCCCACCCGUGUUUAUUUACCUUGUUGCUUCGGCGGGCCCGCCUCACGGCCGCCGGGGGGCAUUCGCCCCCGGGCCCGCGCCCGCCGAAGACACCAUUGAACUCUGUCUGAAGAUUGCAGUCUGAGCGAUUAACUAAAUCAGUUAAAACUUUCAACAACGGAUCUCUUGGUUCCG
rnacentral:misc_RNA from 1 species